AGUGAACGCUGGCGGUAGGCCUAACACAUGCAAGUCGAACGGCAGCACAGGAGAGCUUGCUCUCUGGGUGGCGAGUGGCGGACGGGUGAGGAAUACAUCGGAAUCUACUUUUUCGUGGGGGAUAACGUAGGGAAACUUACGCUAAUACCGCAUACGACCUACGGGUGAAAGCAGGGGAUCUUCGGACCUUGCGCGAUUGAAUGAGCCGAUGGCGGAUUAGCUAGUUGGCAGGGUAAAGGCCCACCAAGGCGACGAUCCGUAGCUGGUCUGAGAGGAUGAGCAGCCACACUGGAACGGGGACACGGUCCAGACUCCUACGAGAGGCAGCAGUGGGGAAUAUUGGACAAUGGGCGCAAGCCUGAUCCAGCCAUACCGCGUGGGUGAAGAAGGCCUUCGGGUUGUAAAGCCCUUUUGUUGGGAAAGAAAUCCAGCUGGUUAAUACCCGGUUGGGAUGACGGUACCCAAAGAAUAAGCACCGGCUAACUUCGUGCCAGCCGCCGCGGUAA
rnacentral:rRNA from 1 species